UUGCAACUAAGCAUGUUAUUAUACAAUACUUGUUGUAAGUGCUUGGAGUUACUUUUAAUAGUGUUUAUCAACGUUCUACCUGACGUAACACGUGUAUCGGAAGGUGAUGGAAGCCGUAUGGAUCAUGAAUUCUGACGUCAUCAGAGAAGAUUGGAAAACUAGCUACGCGUUUUAAGGGGCGGGGCUAAUCGAGGGAUUUUAAAUCUUAAUAACAAAAUAACUAGUUAACCCACUGAAAGGAAAUUGGAGUCUCGUUUUAAAAAAUAAAAAAUUAUCACGCAGGUUCGUUAUUGUCAUUAAACCGUCAAAACUAGUGUGCUGUGUUGAUGACUUAUCCUUCAAUUGCUUAUUGCUUUCGAUACUUGAUGGCCACGUGGAAUUUGUAACAUCUCUCGAGAAAUUAGGCGUCGUAUAUGGAAGAUGACCUCCCACGUGACGUCCGCUACACAUUCCCGUUGUUUGAAAUAAUUUCCAAAGCCUUGAGGUAACACUGUGGCUGAAGUUGAACUUUUUUGUAACAUCUGUUAUUAUUUAGCCUUCUUUAAUCUUGGCACUCCACGGCACGCGUAAUAAUCGUCUAAAUGACGUCGAGAAGAAAUUGAAAAUUGCAAGCUUGUCAAUUGAUUGUUUCCUGUUAAACUUUGAUUUUGAACAACAACGCUCAAUAGGCGUCAAAUUAUUUGUAUCUUAAAUAGUCAUAUAAAAAGGAAAUGUCUUUUUCUCUGAAAUUUUAGUGUUAGCUAUCAAAAAUAUAUGCCUACACGUUUUACAACUCUCGUAUUUGCUCACUCCACUUUGUAUCGAAAUCUGAGAAUCUAGGACAAUACUGUGAAAAACUACUAAGUUCUUAUUUGCUAGAUCUCUCUUGAACGAUUUUUAAUUUUAUUUAGGCCAGUGGUUACGGGUUUCAAUUCGGAAUGUUUUUUUUUUGUUUUGUUUCAACUGUUGUCAAAAACAUUUCUAACAGCAAUAUUUCCUCAGCCCUGAUUGUAUUUUCUCCUCCACUCAUGAAGAUUGUCUUUAAAGUAUCAAAAUCAUCAUCUUCAUUAGCAUCUGUAUCUUCAUCAGCAAAACCCUACUGUUAAGGAUACAUGAGUAAUACAUGUAAUUGUAAAGGAUGAGUGUCCUUUACAAUUUUCACAAAUUGUAGAGCCUUUUACACCUGAUUUUCGGCAAUAGCAAGCGUCUAUACAGCAUUUUUGGCAUUUGAAAAAUGUAAUCUUUAAAAGUAACUGUGGAUCAGAUUCGUUGUUUGUGAAAAUAUAGUAUAAUGUUCAAUAUUUGGUAUUUUGCCAUCCCCAAUUUAAAGGAUUCAGCAUGUUUUCUAACUAUAUCUGAACUAGCAGGUAAAUCCUCAAGAGACGAGCGGCUUCAAUCGUAGAAGGUAAGGGAACCAUGUUAAACUUGGUUUCAACAAAGGAUUUUGAAAAAAUGUUUUAUCUUAAGGUAUUUAAAUUAUCUUCCUUUUUUACCUCCGUAGAAGGUUAUUAGGAAUCUUUGCCCUGAUCCUUCUAUUAUCUCCUGUUUAUUUUCUUUUUUACUAGAAGAUUUUUAUUCCGAACUUGCAGAUUCAUGCAUUUCUUUUUUCAUUGUCUGAAAAUUAGUAUCACAAACCCAUAGACAUGAAGGAUGAGAAGAUAAUUUUUUAAUGGUUGAAAACCAUUCAUGGGUUGGGACUUACCUUUACCUGGUUUCAAAAAAGGCUGUUGGGGAUGCCGAUUCCGUGAAUAAGAUGAAAUGAUCUUCGCUAACCAAAUCAUGAUCUCGGGUAGCUGUUAUUACAGUUUCCCCAAUCAUAUAAUCUGCUUAUUUCACCGAAAAGCUUCCCCUUUGAAGUUUCUGAAGGAGCGUGGACAUUCUUUUGCUAUCAUCGUUGAAAAGGUUCCUGAACUGUUGUUAUUUUUUCAUUGAGCAUAUCCUCUAUCCCAAUUAAAAAAUUUCUUUCAA
rnacentral:lncRNA from 1 species